UACGGGAGGCAGCAGUAAGGAAUAUUGCGCAAUGGGCGAAAGCCUGACGCAGCGACGCCGCGUGGGGGAUGAAGGUCUUCGGAUUGUAAACCCCUUUCGGGAGGGAAGAUGGAGCGAGCAAUCGUUCGGACGGUACCUCCAGAAGCAGCCACGGCCAACUUCGUGCCAGCAGCCGCGGUAAUACGAAGGUGGCAAGCGUUGUUCGGAUUCACUGGGCGUACAGGGUGUGUAGGCGGUUUGGUAAGCCUUCUGUUAAAGCUUCGGGCCCAACCCGGAAAGCGCAGAGGGUACUGCCAGGCUAGAGGGUGGGAGAGGAGCGCGGAAUUCCCGGUGUAGCGGUGAAAUGCGUAGAGAUCGGGAGGAAGGCCGGUGGCGAAGGCGGCGCUCUGGAACAUACCUGACGCUGAGACACGAAAGCGUGGGGAGCAAACAGGAUUAGAUACCCUGGUAGUCCACGCCCUAAACUAUGGAUACUAAGUGUUCGGCGGGUUACCGCCGGUGCCGCAAGCUAANGCAUGNAGUAUCCCGC
rnacentral:rRNA from 1 species